rnacentral:piRNA from 1 species
UGGUGCAUGUACGCUGGC